CACUGGGUCACUUGUGCUUGGUAGUUAGAAACAGGAUGAAAAUAAGAACAUUUUGCUCCCAGGAAUUGCAGUGCUGCUACUAUUUCAAAUUAUAUCACCUCAGUAAAGAAGGCACUGUCUACUCAGCCAGGAUCACCAAGCCCAGUGCCUGCUGCUGUCUCUCUACUGGCAACGUCUUCCUAUCACAAAUCCAUCCUCCAUUCUCAGCCAGAGUGAGCUGUUUCAUAUACAGAUAUGAGCCUAUCACCAACCUGCUUAAAGAUUAUUAAGUGGACUUUAAAUCCAAACACCCCAAAAUGGCUUCCCAGGCUCCUCCCAAUCUGCUUCCCUCUUAAAUAGCAUCCCCCUCCCUCCCUCCUUCCCUCCCUCCCUUCCUCCCUUCCUUCCUUCCGAACUCAGUGCUCCCACCAGCUUGAACCACUCUGAGUUCUUUGAAUGCACCAUCUACUCCCUAACCUCUGCCCAACACACCAUGGCACAUAUGGAACAUUAUAACAUGAUACAGUGCAUUAGAAAGAACAAAUGAGGCUGAAGAAGAAGAAUGGAUUCAAGGCCAGUGGUAUACAGAGAGGCCUGGGCUUCCAGUGCACACCUUAACUCAUGGGAGGCAUACUAGUUGGACAGCUUGAACCUAAUCAACCAGUAGCUUGCAAAGAACCUUCUAAACAUGACCAACGAUAUUGAACAACGUUAAGUUUGGGAACUAGAGCACAGAGUUACCCAAGGAAAUAAUCUUAUGAUGAUAAUCUAACCAGCCAAAUAAAGAUUGACUGAUAUAGGGAAUGGAAGGCAAAACCCGAGGCCACUUACCCAGCCACAGCCCUGCCAUCCCACAGAGACAGCCCCACGGCAGAGCUGCAAAAGAGGACCAGUGCUCCACCUUGGUGAAAUACAAGAUGACUGGGGUGAAGGAGAUGAAGAUCAAAUUGAAGAAACCCAAGGUGGAGACAAAGUGUGCGGCUUCCCCAAAGUUGGCACUUCCGAGAAACAUUUUAAACAAGACCUGGAAUGAGAAAGAAACUCUACAGCCACACAGAGACUUAGCCAGAGCAGAAAG